UCUAGCCUCUCCCGCCCGUCGGGGAGCCCCCAGUGCUGACCCACCACCACCUCCCCACCCGCUGGGGCACCCUGCAUCUCUAGGAGAGAAUAUCCUACAAUCCGCUGCUUCCACCCAUCCCACACCGGCCCUGCAACCAGGUGCUAAGAAAAGCUGGGACUCCGGGGGCCUCAUCUUCCCAAGAACCCAACUGUGGUGGGUUCUCGUCCAUCUCCUGAAAGGCAACGAAGGAAAGUCGGGAUCACGUGGCCACGCCCCGUUCACGUGCCCAUUGCACAGGUGAAGCUGCUGCGGCACAGAGAGGGCGAGUGACUUCUUCCUUGGAGGGUGCACAGCAGUAAAAGGACGGAGCUGGAAAUGGAACCUCGGCCGCCCAGAGCCUCUGUCUCCUUGACCUGUGACCUCUGGGUAAUGAAAAGAAAAUAGGAUUCUACCGAGUCUCCUAUCUACCUACUCCAGGACUUCUGUG